rnacentral:tRNA from 1 species
GCUGCCUUGGCUCAGUCGGUAGAGCGUCGCCUUGGUAAGGCGGAGGUCGGCGGUUCGAUUCCGCUAGGCAGCUCUA